GACGAACGCUGGCGGCGUGCUUAACACAUGCAAGUCGAACGGAAAGGCCCUGCUUUUGUGGGGUGCUCGAGUGGCGAACGGGUGAGUAACACGUGAGUAACCUGCCCUUGACUUUGGGAUAACUUCAGGAAACUGGGGCUAAUACCGGAUAGGAGCUCCUGCUGCAUGGUGGGGGUUGGAAAGUUUCGGCGGUUGGGGAUGGACUCGCGGCUUAUCAGCUUGUUGGUGGGGUAGUGGCUUACCAAGGCUUUGACGGGUAGCCGGCCUGGGAGGGUGACCGGCCACAUUGCGACUGCGAUACGGCCCAGACUCCUACGGGAGGCAGCAGUGGGGAAUAUUGCACAAUGGGCGGAAGCCUGAUGCAGCAACGCCGCGUGCGGGAUGACGGCCUUCGGGUUGUAAACCGCUUUCGCCUGUGACGAAGCGUGAGUGACGGUAAUGGGUAAAGAAGCACCGGCUAACUACGUG
rnacentral:rRNA from 1 species